ACUACCCGCUGAAUUUAAGCAUAUCAAAA
rnacentral:rRNA from 1 species